GACGAACGCUGGCGGCGUGCUUAACACAUGCAAGUCGAACGGAAAGGCCCUGCUUUUGUGGGGUGCUCGAGUGGCGAACGGGUGAGUAACACGUGAGUAACCUGCCCUUGACUUUGGGAUAACUUCAGGAAACUGGGGCUAAUACCGGAUAGGAGCUCCUGCUGCAUGGUGGGGGUUGGAAAGUUUCGGCGGUUGGGGAUGGACUCGCGGCUUAUCAGCUUGUUGGUGGGGUAGUGGCUUACCAAGGCUUUGACGGGUAGCCGGCCUGAGAGGGUGGCCGGCCACAUUGGGACUGAGAUACGGCCCAGACUCCUACGGGAGGCAGCAGCGGGGAAUAUUGCACAAUGGGCGGAAGCCUGAUGCAGCAACGCCGCGUGCGGGAUGACGGCCUUCGGGUUGUAAACCGCUUUCGCCUGUGACGAAGCGUGAGUGACGGUAAUGGGUAAAGAAGCACCGGCUAACUACGUG
rnacentral:rRNA from 1 species